rnacentral:rRNA from 2 species
GGACUACUCGGGUUUCUAAUCCCGUUCGCUCCCCUGGCUUUCGCGCCUCAGCGUCAGAAAAGGUCCAGCACGUCGCUUUCGCCACCGGCGUUCCUUCCGAUAUCUACGCAUUUCACCGCUCCACCGGAAGUUCCACAUGCCCCUACCUCCCUCGAGGUGAUCAGUAUCAAAGGCACUUUUCCGGUUGAGCCGAAAGAUUUCACCCCUGACUUGAUCACCCGCCUACGCGCCCUUUAAGCCCAGUGAAUCCGAACAACGUUCGCACGGUUCGUCUUACCGCGGCGGCUGGCAC